rnacentral:rRNA from 1 species
UACGGAGGGGGCAAGCGUUGUUCGGAAUUACUGGGCGUAAAGGGCGCGCAGGCGGCUGCUCAAGUCAGGCGUGAAAGGCCUGGGCUCAACCCGGGAAUUGCGCUUGAGACUGGGCUGGCUUGAGUGCGGGAGAGGAUGGUGGAAUUCCCAGUGUAGAGGUGAAAUUCGUAGAUAUUGGGAAGAACACCGGUGGCGAAGGCGGCCAUCUGGACCGCAACUGACGCUGAGCGCGAAAGCGAUGGGGAGCAAACAGGG